rnacentral:rRNA from 1 species
CACGUAGGGGCCGAGCGUUGUCCGGAGUUACUGGGCGUAAAGGGCGCGCAGGCGGCCUGCUGCAUCACCGGUGAAAGCCCCGCGCUCAACGCGGGAGGGUCCGGUGAGAUGAGCAGGCUGGAGGCAGGGCGAGGGCGGUGGAAUUCCGGGUGUAGUGGUGAAAUGCGUAGAGAUCCGGAGGAACACCAGUGGCGAAGGCGGCCGCCUGGACCUGACCUGACGCUGAGUGAGCGAAAGCCAGGGGAGCAAACGGG